AGAAACGGAAGUUUCGUCACUUGGACAGGAUGUUUGGGUUUCAAAGUUCAUCCUGCGCCUGCCUCUAAAAAAACAUAAAUUUGUCAACACGUCAACACAAGUGCAUGACAAUGUCAAGCACUAACAGAUGAGAGGACAGCUUAAGUACUUUUCCCGGACAUUACCCCUUCACUACAGUCCGCAUUUGUGUCCAGAACAAGUGCAUGACAAAGUCAAGCAAUACUAUGGUUUUCGCCUGGAGUCUACCUGUGAUCUGCAGACCAAUGCUGCCUGCUCUCUACCUUGCAGGCCAAUGCCCAAGAGUGCUAUGGAGGCCCUUAAUCUUGUUCACCCUGAAGUAACCAAACGGUAUGAUGAUGACAAUGAACCAAUUGAUUCAGGACUGCUUCUGUUGAGAAUAUAUCUAUUUGUAUAAUGACACAUAAGAAGAAUACAUUCAUUUCCAACCAGUAUACAUUAAUAAAUACUACUAUUGCAUCAAAUGUGAAACUGUUAGGACACACAUUCCUCUUUGUUCCAGAUUUACAUUUUAGUCAUUUAGCAGAUGCUCUUAUCCAGAACAACUUCAUCUUAAGAUAGCUAAGUGGGACAGCCACAUAUCACAGUCAUAGUAAGUAUAAUUUUCCUCAAUAAAGUAGCUAUCAGCAAAGUCAGAAUUAGCAAGAGGGAAAAGUCAAGUGCGACUGUUAGUUAAUGAAAGGCUAUAUAUUCCUAUGUCAUUUGUUUCUCGGUUCUUUGGCUGUGCUCUACCGGUUCCAGAGAAACUUCAGGGCUGCAGAAUAUUGGACCUGGGCAGCGGUUCCGGCAGAGACCGCUAUGCCCUCAGUAAACUGGUUGGCGAGACUGGCCAUGUCACAGGCAUUGAUAUGACUGAGUAACUGAUUCUAGUGUCCCGUAAAUACAUCCAUUACCACCAGGAGAAGUUUGGCUUUAAGAAACCCAACACCACCUUCCACCAGGGGUCUAUGGAGAAGCUAACUGCAGCUGAUGUUGAGAAUGACUAUGGAUAUCAUAGUGUCAAACUGUGUCAUCUGUUUAUGCCCUGACAAGAAAACAGUUGUACGGGAAGCCUACAAGGUCCUCAAGGUGAGUAGUCCACCACACUACACUGCCUGUUAUCAUUGCAUAACAUGAUUAUUAAAAACAGUAUCCCAGAGCUUAAGAAACUACAGAUGGCAGUGACUGUGUCUCAUUAAAAGUACUAAUUCCUUUGUUCUUCCAUCUCUCUCCCAUGUGAUAUAGGAGGGUGAUGAAUUGUAUUUCAGUGACAUGUAUGCCAGCAAUGUUGUUCCACUUAAAAGAAGAUGCAGUUAUGUGGGAUAAGGGAUCAAGUUUCCCCUUCCUAGCAUACGAAGAAUGUUUGAUAAUCUAUAUUCUGCUCUUAUCUUCCAUAUUUUUCAGGUGCAGUCUCAUUGGUGACGUCUCAAAGUUAAUUUACCCAGAAGUGGUUUCGUUUGACCAGAAUGUGCCGUGCAAAUUGUACAAAUGUUCUUCACACUGUUGUGUUUUG